UACGUAGGUGGCGAGCGUUGUCCGGAUUUACUGGGCGUAAAGAGCGCGCAGGCGGUCGUUCAAGUCGCGUGUGAAAGCCCCCCGGCUCAACUGGGGAGGGUCACGCGAUACUGAUCGACUCGAAGGCAGGAGAGGGUAGUGGAAUUCCCGGUGUAGUGGUGAAAUGCGUAGAUAUCCGGAGGAACACCGGUGGCGAAGGCGGCUUCCUGGACCGACACUGACGCUGAGGCGCGAAAGCCAGGGGAGCAAACGGG
rnacentral:rRNA from 1 species